CCGGGAAUUCAACCUCACUGUAACAACUAUUAUAUUGUUAAUCAGUAUACUCUAGUUUGUUGUUAUACAUGUACAUGUAUAUUAUAUUAAAGUCGUACGAAACCUCUAAUAAAAAAAGGAUGCAUAUGUUUUUUUAUAACAAUAAGUAUAGUUUUCAUGCUAAAACUUAUGUACUUGAUUGAUUGCUUACAAUAAGGCGACAAGCUGUAAACUACGGCUUCAUAAUACGACAAAAUAUAUGUAUAACAGUUAUAUGUAAUUUUUAUUUUUCCUUAUGUCAUUCUUUUCUACUAGUAUUCUCAUGAUAGUGCAGUGGAAGAGCAUAGUGGUUAUUCUUUUGAAAUAAUUAGUUUUUCUAAGAUAUAUUGGAUUUGAGUAAGUAGAUUUGAGUAGGCAUUCAAAUUUUCUCGCAAUUUUUGGAAAACCUUUUUGAGAUAUUCUUCCGCAACGCUAACACAAAUUAUUGGUAUCCUUGAUUUAAUAUUGAUACUAUAUUUGUAACGACAAACAUUUUCACAUCAUUUAUCUACAUGACUGUUCCUUAAAAAUGAUUUACAUUAAUAUGCAUAAGCGAUAAGGAAUGCUAUUUUGCAUUUGAUAAUUUCCACGUAAUUAUACGAAAUACGUCUGGUUAUUAAUAAAAAAAACGCAAGUAACGUGGGUACAAAUGUCUGCGACAGUUUAAUUUCCAAUUUUAAAGUCCGACCUCGGCAAGAUGAAAUCAGAAAAUCCACGAGCUACUAUGCGAGAAUCUGUUUCUCUAAUGAUUAAAAAAUAAAUAAAUGUUGUUAAGCGAAAUCUCCUUCGGUAACCUUCCACAUUUCACAAACUUGUCAAUUUUAUUAACAC
rnacentral:lncRNA from 1 species